rnacentral:lncRNA from 1 species
CACACAUUCACACACACAUACACACACACUGGAUCUUCAUCUGUGGUAUAUUCAGUUGCCAUUGGAAACCUAAGAAAGAAGUGAAUCUACCCUCCAAGUCUUAAGCUGGUGGUUUUUUUUUUCCCUCCCCUUUUCUCCUCUCCUCACAGAAGGCGAAGUCUUUCACAAUGAAUCCAUGGCAGCUUCGAUCGAGCGGUGAGCUGGAGCACCUACAUACAGGCCACUCCUUGAUGUGACUGAAAAGAGGCCUUUUCCAGCACUCUGAAAGGAGAGUGGGGCUGUGGAUUUACCUCCCACACACCUGGGCACCCAGAGUACAUGCACUGCGAGAUCAGGACUGCAUCUGCCUUUUUGUGAAACACCACCUGUAACUGCUUUCUUCUGCUCCCAGUUGACUCUCCAUUUGAUGGAAACCCAAGCACAAAGUCUGUCUCGUCUUUUGACAUCAUCCAGACUAACGACUUUGAGUGGCAACACAGGACUUCCACAGGUCAGGGAUGCCCUGGUUGAGAAUGCCAUGUAAGGGCAGCCACUUCAUCUCACUGGAGAGGUGGCUUGGCCUCUGGAGUUUUCUUGCUGGACUUGCACUGGGAUGGCUACUUGUCAUACUUGGAGAGAGAACUCACUGCUGGUGAAGGAACCUCUCUCAGUUACUCGCCUAGGGGAAGGUUGGCUGGAAGCCAACCGCACACUGAAGGAUGCUGGAGUGCUGAUGCCUCUGCCCCAUUGGAGUCUGUGGACAUGGAAGUAUUCUCCACAGAUUCCAGUGACAGAUGGAUCUCUCUUGUGCACACGUGCUCUUUCCCUCUCUGUAUUUUUGUUUUCGACAUGUUUGAUCUGAAGUUCUGAAGCUUCUCAGAGGGAACCCGGGAGAGAAGGAAGAGGAGGAGGAGGAGGAGGAGGAGGAGGAACCGAGGGAGUGUGAGCGACAGAAGAGGCAGCCCUGCCUUGUUCUUCCA